rnacentral:rRNA from 1 species
GACGAACGCUGGCGGCGUGCCUAAUACAUGCAAGUAGAACGCACAGUUUAUACCGUAGCUUGCUACACCAUAGACUGUGAGUUGCGAACGGGUGAGUAACGCGUAGGUAACCUGCCUGGUAGCGGGGGAUAACUAUUGGAAACGAUAGCUAAUACCGCAUAAUAUUAAUUAUUGCAUGAUAAUUAAUUGAAAGGUGCAAUUGCACCACUACCAGAUGGACCUGCGUUGUAUUAGCUAGUAGGGGAGGUAACGGCUCACCUAGGCGACGAUACAUAGCCGACCUGCGAGGGGGAGCGGCCACCCUGGGACUGAGACACGGCCCAGACUCCUACGGGAGGCAGCAGUAGGGAAUCUUCGGCAAUGGACGAAAGUCUGAACGAGCAACGCCGCGUGAGUGAAGAAGGGUUUCGGAUCGUAAAGCUCUGUUGUAAGAGAAGAACGGGUGUGAGAGUGGAAAGUUCACACUGUGACGGUAUCUUACCAGAAAGGGACGGCUAACUACGUG